rnacentral:rRNA from 1 species
UACGUAGGGUGCAAGCGUUGUCCGGAAUUAUUGGGCGUAAAGGGCUCGUAGGCGGUCCAUCGCGUCGGGAGUGAAAAGCUGGGGCUUAACCCCAGUCCUGCUUCCGAUACGGGUGGACUAGAGGUAGGUAGGGGAGAUCGGAAUUCCUGGUGUAGCGGUGAAAUGCGCAGAUAUCAGGAGGAACACCGGUGGCGAAGGCGGCAUCCUGGACCGAGAUUGACACUGAUGAGCGAAAGCUAGGGGAGCAAACGGG